AAAUUGAAGAGUUUGAUCAUGGCUCAGAUUGAACGCUGGCGGCAGGCCUAACACAUGCAAGUCGAGCGGCAGCGGGAAAGUAGCUUGCUACUUUUGCCGGCGAGCGGCGGACGGGUGAGUAAUGCCUGGGAAAUUGCCCAGUCGAGGGGGAUAACAGUUGGAAACGACUGCUAAUACCGCAUACGCCCUACGGGGGAAAGCAGGGGACCUUCGGGCCUUGCGCGAUUGGAUAUGCCCAGGUGGGAUUAGCUAGUUGGUGAGGUAAUGGCUCACCAAGGCGACGAUCCCUAGCUGGUCUGAGAGGAUGAUCAGCCACACUGGAACUGAGACACGGUCCAGACUCCUACGGGAGGCAGCAGUGGGGAAUAUUGCACAAUGGGGGAAACCCUGAUGCAGCCAUGCCGCGUGUGUGAAGAAGGCCUUCGGGUUGUAAAGCACUUUCAGCGAGGAGGAAAGGUUGAU
rnacentral:rRNA from 1 species